ensembl:lincRNA
AUGUGGUGUCUGGCUGGACCCCCAUGGAGGGGAGGCAUUGUGGCGCUACCAUAUGGGGCCCGGCUUGUCUGGAACAUGGGGCACCGCAAGGGAGCAGCCAGAGGAAAGGCUGAGGAGGCUGAGGGGUCGCUGAGAGACGCCGCGGCUGCCAUUUUCCACACUCGCUCCUCGCUCUGUUGUGAGGGCACGGGUUUCUGUGGAGAAGGGGCACGGACUGAGCUGUGGCUACAGGGUGUCUCUCUCAGAGCUCUACAUUUUACCCCCACUACUUUCCCCCAACCCCCAUCAAGAACCAUCCCUCUUCAAACUCUUUUUAUUGAUGGAGGAGACCUGGAAGCUUCUCAUUAGCACUGCAAAAUACACAAGGAAAUCUGAGAGUAGAUAAUAAGAGGAUACUCAGAGUCCUUUUAGCAUGAACGAUAAGGUCAGCAAGGUUUUCCUUAUAAUAACAGGUGAUGGGGGGGUCCACAGUUGGCCUGUCUUUCUACACUUUUAAUCUUACUUGAUUCCUGUAGGAGCUGUGAGCAGAUAUUACCGCACCCCCCUUGACAAAUGAAGAAAGGACACAUGGUCUGAGACAUGAUUCAUUUUCCCCAAGAUCCCACCGCGAGAGUGUGGAAACGGGGUCUCCAAGCCAGGGCUUCAGCGUCCUAGCUGGAGGCUAAUUCUACCAGGUCACACUUUCAAGUACCCAGGCCUGGAAGACUGGCCACUCCAGCAAAAUCACAAUGAGCUUCAGAAUAAAGACGCAACUUACUUCGCCGGGCGUGACAUUAUUUUUGUGGUGGGUGACCUGAGACUGCAAACGGAGAUAAGUGCUAGAGAGGGGGCAGAAAUUCCUUAGGCAUACUGAGAAGUUGCCGGGACCCAACGGUUCCCUCAGAUGCAGGGGAAUGUGGGAGAAAGAGAGUCAGAGCAGGAGUAAAGCAGGGCAUCCGCCCACUGGCGCGCUGCACAGAAUGAGUCACCAAAUCUCACACAUUUCUGAUUUAGUUCUCCAGAUCACAGCAGCUAUUGAAAGGAAGCUACACGGUUUGUUCAAUAACAAACCCAAAGGAAGAAAGGAGGGCGGGAAGGAAAGAAAAAGGGGGGUGGGGUGGGAGGAACAGCCCUCCACGACCGUUCUUUAUGAACAGCCCAGCCCGUGGCACCCCAAAGCUGACAGCUAUGUGUAAUUAGCACAAAGCAAGGUUCUGCAGACCCUCCCUGUCCAAACAUGUUUUUGAAACAAGGACUUUGCCUUUUAGCACCAACAGUUUGUCCUGUUGUAUGUUGUUACUUCCACAGAUGUUCCAUAAUUUUUUGCAUAUGGCCAAGCCAAAGAAAGCCUUUCCCCCUUCCAUGUUUGGGAAAGAUGCAACUGCCUGCGGGAAGGAGAGAAGAACGCCGAGCGUCUGGGUUUUUACACGAUGGAGCUGGGACGGCUGGGAUGUGUGCAUGCGUGUACCAGAUUCUCCAUUCAAUCUCGCCCCACACUUUAUCUAACUCUCUUUGCUGAAUAAUUCCGAUGGGAUCUGGGAGAACUAAGUGCAUCCAAGUUCACGGUGUUUGCUAGGAUAACACAUCAUCAAAAGCCUCUCUAAAAAAGGUUUGAAUAUUUACAGAAGGGGGGUAAAAAAAAGAGGUGGGAGAAAUGUUAAUACAUUUGAGGUUUUUUUUUUUUUCUUUCUUGGCAGUCUUCACAACCAAAAACAGCAGAACCUUCUCAUGUUUCUGUGACCUUCCUCUGCGCAGCCCAGCAUGCACAUAUACGGUAUCGGAGACUAGCUCUGCUCAAUGCUUUCUCUGGAAGGAGGGUCUGUGCGGAGGUGGGUUUUUUUUGGGGGGGAGGGGU